UGACCAUUGUCGUUGUCUUGUGGGCG
rnacentral:piRNA from 1 species